rnacentral:rRNA from 1 species
GUUAAGCGACUAAGCGUACACGGUGGAUGCCCUGGCAGUCAGAGGCGAUGAAGGACGUGCUAAUCUGCGAUAAGCGUCGGUAAGGUGAUAUGAACCGUUAUAACCGGCGAUUUCCGAAUGGGGAAACCCAGUGUGUUUCGACACACUAUCAUUAACUGAAUCCAUAGGUUAAUGAGGCGAACCGGGGGAACUGAAACAUCUAAGUACCCCGAGGAAAAGAAAUCAACCGAGAUUCCCCCAGUAGCGGCGAGCGAACGGGGAGCAGCCCAGAGCCUGAAUCAGUAUGUGUGUUAGUGGAAGCGUCUGGAAAGGCGCGCGAUACAGGGUGACAGCCCCGUACACAAAAAUGCACAUGCUGUGAGCUCGAUGAGUAGGGCGGGACACGUGGUAUCCUGUCUGAAUAUGGGGGGACCAUCCUCCAAGGCUAAAUACUCCUGACUGACCGAUAGUGAACCAGUACCGUGAGGGAAAGGCGAAAAGAACCCCGGCGAGGGGAGUGAAAAAGAACCUGAAACCGUG